UUUCUGGAAAUGUUUAUUCUUUCUUCCUGAAAAAAUAUAUAAUUAUAUUCAUAUUGAUUUCUGGGCUUCCCACAGACUGGAGUAAAGCUUUUAAAAUGCUGACUUGAGGAAAGAGGCCAUGCCUUCCUUGCCCCUUCUGAGAUCUUUGGGAACAUCUAAUGGUUAUCAACUGCAUGGUUUGCAGCUCCUGAAAAAGAAGUCAGUACUGAGGGAAGAUGGCUGUAAAUGGAAGGUUUUCCAGUUCCAGUCAGGCCGUGCCAUGCCACGACUCUCGAGUAGACCUUGACUUUACUUCAGUUGUUUCCUUGUUCCUGUUUCAAGUUUGCCUCAGCCUUGACAACCUUGCUGCCUUGAUUGCUACGAAGUUUUUUCCAGUGGAUUGAACUCUGUUUCUGCCAGCCUUGUUUCUCUGUUUUAACUCAUGGGCACUUUGAUUUCUUUGGAGUGCUAUCAAGCUCUCAUUGUUCUCAAUAAUUCUCAUAUCGGACCUUUUCCUUUACCCAUUUGGAACUUUCUAAAAAGAACUAUUCCUUACUCAGACUCUAUACCUGAUUUCCUUUGGAUAUAUAAUUGCUUUAAUAAAUAUAUAGUGUAUUAUAUUGGC